UACGGGGGGGGCAAGCGUUGUUCGGAAUUACUGGGCGUAAAGGGCGCGUAGGCGGUCAGGGAAGUCAUGGGUGAAAUCCCCCGGCUCAACCGGGGAAUUGCCUGUGAAACCACCUGACUGGAGUGCUGGAGAGGGAAGCGGAAUUCCCAGUGUAGCGGUGAAAUGCGUAGAUAUUGGGAGGAACAUCUGAGGCGAAGGCGGCUUCCUGGACAGACACUGACGCUGAGGCGCGAAAGCCAGGGGAGCAAACGGG
rnacentral:misc_RNA from 1 species